UCCUAGCCCGGAUUGGAGCGGCAUCCUUUUUGGGGGCGGCCGGAGCGAAGCGAAGGACGUCACUAAAAAGAUAUAGCGAAAAGCCGGAUGAAGC
rnacentral:sRNA from 1 species